UACGGAGGGUGCGAGCGUUGUCCGGAAUCAUUGGGCGUAAAGGGCGCGUAGGUGGUUCUGUAUGUCUACCGUGAAAGCAUACAGCUCAACUGUAUUUUGUCGGUAGAAACUGCAGGACUUGAGGCUGGGAGGGGCUGGUGGAAUUCCCUGUGUAGCGGUGAAAUGCGUAGAGAUGGGGGAGAACACUCGUGGCGAAGGCGGCCAGCUAGACCAGUUCUGACACUGAGGCGCGACAGCGUGGGGAGCAAACAGG
rnacentral:rRNA from 1 species